GGAUGGGAGGGCAAUCUGGCUGUGACCUCUGUCACUCCCUUGAUCGCCAGGGUUGAUUCGGCUGAUCUGGCUGUCUAGGUGGCGGUCCCCUUCCUCCCUCCCUCACCGCUCUGUGUGCAUCUCUCCCAAAGCUGCACACUUUCGAAGAGGACGACCUUCCCUGAAACACGUGGACCAUUCUUUGGUCAAGGGUAUACAAGUAGCUGUGCUUCCCUGCUCUGACCUCCAAACGGUCUCUUAAGGAGCCCCUCCAAGUGUCAGCAGAGAGUUGGCAGGUAACAGCAUGGGUUCGGGGUUCAGAUCCUGCUGCACCCCUUACUGGUUGGUGACAUUG
rfam:Ailuropoda melanoleuca scaffold397_26, whole genome shotgun sequence.